AACGAACGCUGGCGGCAGGCCUAACACAUGCAAGUCGAGCGAAGGGUUUCACUUCGGUGGGGUCCUUAGCGGCGGACGGGUGAGUAACACGUGGGAACGUGCCCAAAGGUACGGAACAACAGUUGGAAACGACUGCUAAUACCGUAUGAGCCCUACGGGGGAAAGAUUUAUCGCCUUUGGAUCGGCCCGCGUCUGAUUAGGUAGUUGGUGGGGUAAUGGCCUACCAAGCCGACGAUCAGUAGCUGGUUUGAGAGGACGAUCAGCCACACUGGGACUGAGACACGGCCCAGACUCCUACGGGAGGCAGCAGUGGGGAAUCUUAGACAAUGGACGCAAGUCUGAUCUAGCCAUGCCGCGUGAGCGAUGAAGGCCUUAGGGUUGUAAAGCUCUUUCACCGGGGACGAUAAUGACGGUACCCGGAGAAGAAGCCCCGGCUAACUCCG
rnacentral:rRNA from 1 species